CUCCUCUCCACCGUGGUCCGGGCCACCAUUGUCACUCUCCUGGACAGCGGCCUCUUCUCUCAGCUCCCCGUCGCUUUCUCAGCCACCCCGUGAGGGUCCCAGCAAGGGGAGGGGGCCAGUCUGCUUUACACACACAGCAGCCUGGAGGAGGAAACUGAGGCCCACAAGAGGUUAUUUGCUCAAGGUCACCCAGAUAGCAAAGAGCCAAACCGGAUGUGGACCCAGCAGCCUGGUUCCGGAGCCUGAAAUGUCUGUCGUUUCUGCUUGCUGUUAACCCCAUGGGAUCACAGAGCACAGCUGUCUUGUUCACAGAUUCGUCUCCUGCAUCCUUCACAAAGCUGAGUAAAUGUUGAAUGAAUGAAUGAAU
rnacentral:lncRNA from 1 species